ensembl:lncRNA
GUUUAACUUAGUCUUAAUUUAGUUUCAUUUAGACAACUCGACAAGUGACCAGUUUAAUAAUAAUAAUAUAUUAGAGAAUAAUAAUAAUAAUAAUAAAUUCAAAAAAUAUAAAUUAUAUAAUCAUCAACAACAACAACAACAACAACAACAAUAUAAUACAUUCAAUUAAGAAUAAAUAAAACAAUACAUACUGUAUGUGUGUAUAUAUGUUUAUAUGUGUGUGUGUGUGUGUGUCUAUAUAUAACAAGAGCAGGGCACUGGCGGAGGCCAGGGCUCUGGACAGCAGGCAAGAAAAAGAUCUCGCAGUAGCUGACAAAACACGACUCAGCGAAGAACUACAUCUGCUGAAAAAAGAGCACAAUGAUGUCCAGCUACUUUUAGCUCAAGCCGAAAAGAAUUACUUUGAGACCAAGCUUAAACUAGACAGGGUGUCAGGAGAAAAGCAGGCUCUCCUGGAGGAGAACAGAAUACUGGAGGAUAAGAGGAGCUGCAGGAGCUGCAGGAGCUGACUGAGGAGAAUGUGAAGAUAAUGGAAAAGGAGGUGAACUCCAGACGCAGAGCUCAGGUUGCUGAAGAGCAGAGAGAAAGGGCCGAUAAAGCCCAGCGGGAAGCUGAGCAGGAAAGGCAUUUAGCUGAGCGGGAGAGGGAAGAUCGCACCAGGGAGUGUCUCAGCUGGAGAAAGAAGCACCAGGCUCUGGCAGAAGUCAUCAGAGCCCAGGAAGAACUUAAGUCUCUCAGGCAGACCAAAGCAUGUCAAGCUAAUAUUAAGAGCUACUUCCUGUGUAUGACUGAAAGCGACCAGAGGGUUAAGAUACUAAAAAAUCGAGAUGGCACACCAAGGAAUUUCACGGAAGGAGACCCUGUGUACAUCCCCACACCUGAUCUCAACGGUGAGGAUUCAGAGAAGAGUUCAGGGAGCAGGACGAUGUUUAGGGUGGCUGCACCUCGAGUUGGACGGGACACCAGCCCAGCACACUUCAGUGAGCUGUCACCAAUGGCAGAUACCCAUGAUUCUGGAUUUUCAAGGAGAAACAGGAAAGUGGAAUAUUUCAGGAUCCCCACUGAUGAGGAAUAA